AAGUAAGCGGAAGAAAAAUAAUAAAAUAUCAAAAAUAUGAAUCUAUUACAAUUUUUUAAGCCUUAAUCACCCAAAACUGGUGUCACAGUACCACCGACAGUCUAAGACUGCUAAAUACAAGGUCUGAAAAUAAAAGACACACUGUUUCUGAAGCAAAGAGAUGAAACAAGAAAUAAAUAAUAAAGGAGAUGCUAGGUCCUGCGGACGCCUGCAGGUCUACCUUGGAUCUCAGUGUGGACUGAAGGUAGCCUCCAAAGUACGGUCCAAGAGCUACUCCUGGAUCUGCAGAUAGUACAGAGUGUAGUGUCAGAACAACUGACCCCAUGUGCUGGUAAGUGCCUAGCCUAACCUCGGCGAAGUAGUGACGAGGCUAGGACCAGACUACCAAAUAAACCUAUACAGUAAUGUAAUAGACAUCAGAAAGUAAAGCAAACAAGUAAAGUGGGAGGGGGAAACAUGGUUUGGGGAAUAACAGGUAACAACACAAUAGCGAGAGGAUUGUAAAGAAACCAAACUCCAACUACUAAUAAGGGUAAGGAAACAAAGGCAGAAUUCAUUUUCAUUUCACAUCUCAUUGCAGGCGUGCAACCCGUUCCCAUUUCAUUUACCUCGUUGUAGGUGUGCAACUCGAUCCCAUUUCACAUAUCUUGUGGCAGGCAAGCCACCCGCUCCCAUUUUAAAUAUCUUGUGGUAGUCGUGCCACUCUCUCCCAUUUCAUGUAUCUCAUGGCAGGCAUGCCACCCGCUCCCAUUUCAUUUAUCUCAUGGCAGGCGUGCCACCCGCUCCAAUUUCAUUUAUCUCGUGGCAGGCGUAUCAUCCGCUUACAUUUUAUUUAUCUUGUGGUAGGUGUGCCACCCACUUCCAGUUGCAAUCAACAACAAUCACUAAGAAUCCCAGCGAGGGAACAAGAGCAAUAUAACAAUAUCCCGGCAAGGGAACAAGAGCAAUAUAACACUAUCCUGGCAAGAAAACAAUAAUAUUUCAAUAACAUCCUAGCAAGAGAACAAUAAUAUUUCAGCAACAUCUCGUCAAGGGAAAAAUAAUAUUUCAAUAACAUCCCAGCAAGGGAAUAAUAAUAUUUCAAUAAUAUCCCGGCAAGGGAAUAAUAAUAUUUCAAUAACAUGUGAAGUCAAUAAUUCACAACGCAGUCAUAAUAAUCACAAUACAAGUCUCACGAGCAUGCAAGACAUCGAUGUAUAGAUACUCGUCACCAUGCCUAUAUGUCGUACUCAACAAUUAACAAACAGAAAAUAAGACACAACUCCUACUCCCUCAAGCUAAGGUUAGACCAAAACUUACCUCGAUGCCACGAACACAAUUCACGUUUCAAUUAUAGCUUUACCCCUUGAUUCCACCACCAAUUCGCUCGAGUCUAGCCACAAGUUACUUAAUUACAUUAAUAAACGCUAAAUGAAUCAACCCCAAUGCAUGAAAAUGCAUUUUCCAAACUUUUACCAAAAAGUCAAAAAUCGCCCUGGGCCCACAUGGUCAAAACUAGAGGUUCAAACCAAAAUCCGAUUAUUCAUUCCCCCACGAACCCAAAUAUAUAUAUAUUUUUCAAAAUCAGACCUCAAAUCGAGAUCCAAAUCCCCAAUUUUUGAAAAACCUAGGUUCUACCAAAAAUACCCAAUUCACCCCAUGAAUAUCAUUGAUUUCGAAUUGAAAUCAUGUUAGAAGAUGUUAAGGAUUGAAGGAAACUAGUUAAAAAUGACUUACAACCGAUUUGGAAAAGAAGAAGCCUUUGGAAAAUUUCGCUAAAGUGUUUAUGUUUUGAGAGGAUAUGAAAAUGGGUUAAAAAUUCGUCUAAGUAUAAAAGUUGCAGGUUGUAGAUAUGGGAAAUGCGAACAGUGGUUCGCAAGUGCGAACCUCAACCUCUGCUAUGUUGGAAAACGCGAAAGGAAUCUCCCAAUAGCAAGGUGGGAAAUGCGAACAAAAGCUCACAAUUGCGAUAACAGGCCUAAGAGGGGUGCAUCGCAUUUGCAAAAGAACUCUCGCAUUUGCGAGGAAGAGUUGCCUGGGGUGUCUCGCAUUUGUGACUCAGCCUUUGCAUUUGUGAGCCAUGCUUCAAAAAUGCGAAGCCUGCAGGCCUGAACACGCCACAUAUAAACCUUCAAUUUACCAAGUUUAAAGUAUACCCCGUGGCCUAUCGAAAACUCACUCGAGCCCUCGGGGCUCAAAACCUAACAUGCACACCAACCUAGAAACAUCAUACAGACUCGCUCGUGCAUUCAAAAUACUUAAAUAACAUCAACAACUAUGAAUUUAGCAUCAAAAUCAUGAAAUUUUCUCAAGAACUUUCAAAUUUCCAAUUUUCCCCAAAAUGAUCUGAUUCACCCCUUUUUUAAAAAAUAAAAUAAACCCUCACUAAACCCUCUUAAAUUAAUAAAUUUUUUAGUAAAAGCUUGAAAAGGGAUUUUCAAUUUUGAAAGUGACAAAAAUAUGUUUCAAAAGGAAAAUAACUUAGAGUCGCCACUUGGCAUUUGAUUUCGGUGUGCCAGGCCAUCGGUUUUUUUUUAAAAAUAUUUAUUUUUUCUUUUAAAACAUUUCAGACUCUAAAGCCAAGUCCGCACCAGAGAUUCAGGUAAGGGGGUUUAUUUGAUUCGGGGAGAAGGUGUUAGGCAUUCCCCAAGUCCCGUGAAGUUCACGGUUGCAUACAUGAUCAAGUUGACUAUUAAAAUAUUCGAUUGAGGUAGAAAACAUAGAAAAGGAAAAUAAACACACAAGAGGCUCGAGGUCGUCCCUACCUAAUGAAAGAAAAAUAAAAAGUGAAAAAUAAAAAUACUAUUUUAUGAUUCCUCAAUGUGUUCCAUCACUGGCCUUCAAAUACAAAAAAGGAAAAUAAAAGCAAAAGCAAAAAUAAAAUACUAUUCUAUGCUUCCUUGAAACAUUCCGUCUUUGGCCUUCAUAUACAUCCACUUCGGGGCAUACCCAAGAUAAAAUAUAUACAAAGUCUUCGGGGCAUUCCACGGAUAAAUUUAACUACGGGAAUGACCUCUCGCCUCAAAACUAACAAAAUCCUAAAGCUUGCCUACCCAAGUGAUGACGGUCUAAACAUGUUCCAAGUAUCAAAUUAAUAAAGCAAAUUUUGUUUUACUUUUAAUUCCCUAAUCCAAUGACCCACUGCUCAAGUUCAUUUAAUCAGAUCUUUCCUUUAUGAGUAUCUACUAUGUCACAUCUAUUCAAAAGACAAGAACUCACACAUUGUUUACAAUUAGAACUCAAUCAAAGUUUCAAUUCACACAAAUAUGAAACGUAAAUUUACGAGUCAUCACCAAAUAAUCAAUAAAGCAUGAAUUGCAAACAAACACAAACAACUCACGGGAGAGAAAUCCGAAAAAUAGAGGGAAGGGAAAGAAUAAACCUUGAGACAGGCAAAAUUUCUCCUAGCAACGGAUCGAUGAACCGAAACUCAACACGGCGAACAAACUGCGAACAGUAAACACAGACCGAACCACAAAUGAAAGUCUGAACGCCACCUCAAACAAAGUCGGCUCAAUACUCCAUUUCAAGCAGGAAUCCUAGAAAGAAACGGGACCCUUUUUUCUUUGUUUACUGAUUUUUAAAAAAUGGAACAUGAAACUUGGAUCAAAACUAAUUUCAAAUCGUUUUCACUCUCAGAUUCUGUCACGUUUCCUUUUUGUUUGUUUUUCUUCGUUCCCUGCUUCUGUUUUUGUUCUUGUUUGUGUGUGUGCGCGUGAUUUUCUGGCUGGUUUCAGCGGGCUGUAUGUUACUGCUGAUUGUUUGGACGUGAGGGAGCAGCGGCUGUUUUAUAGUUUUGGUCGACUGGCGACUGGUGGUCCCUGCGUGGUUAUGGUGGUGGACGACGUGAGAUCGACGAUGGUGAAAAACGCAGCAGCAACUGCUCGUCAGAGUUGGACGCCGCUGCUGCUCGUUCAGUUCAUGUUCCGUUUUUGUUUCUCAUGAAGAAUGAAGAAGCUUAUGGCUAUGAAGGUUGAAGAAAAAGCAUCGUUUAGGGUCGCGUGGUUCGUGAUGUGGGGGGGGGUGAAGACAAAGAAGAACGGCGGCGGCUUAGGGUGGCUAAGGGUGCUAGGGUUUCGCUUCCUUCAUGGAGAAGAAGAAGAUGGAGUUCUAGUUGUCUUCUAGGGUUUUGGCGUGGGAGAAGAGAUGAAGUAGCUAGGGUUUUUUGGUCUUGUUCUCUAAUGAAGAAGAUGAAGUGUGGUCUUGUUGGGCCAAAAAUAAAGAAAUUAUGCUUUAAUAUUGGGCUAAAAGACAUAAAACCCAAAUCAUAUUUAAAUUCCUUUUAAUAUAAGGUAAAUAUACUACAUAAUGUAAAAAUUAAUCUAAUUAAUUAAACUAAAUGAUGUAUAAAAUAUGAAACUAUUUAUUGCAUUUUCAAGGAUUAUAUUAAAAUAAAAUAGGUUCAAAGUAAUAUACGUUAAAAUACCAAAUGCAUGAAUUAAAUAGAGACAC
rnacentral:lncRNA from 1 species